rnacentral:rRNA from 1 species
CCUAUCUACCGUGGGCGCUGGAAAUUUGAGAGGAUCUGCUCCUAGUACGAGAGGACCAGAGUGGACGAACCUCUGGUGUACCGGUUGUGACGCCAGUCGCAUCGCCGGGUAGCUAUGUUCGGAAGGGAUAACCGCUGAAAGCAUCUAAGCGGGAAGCCUACCUCAAGAUAAGAUUUCCCUAGGAAUUUAUUCCUCUAAAGAGCCGUUCGAGACUAGGACGUUGAUAGGUUGGAUGUGGAAGCAUAGUGAUAUGUGAAGCUGACCAAUACUAAUUGCUCGUGAGGCUUGACUAUACAACACCCAAGCAGUUG